rnacentral:rRNA from 1 species
UACGGAGGAGGCAAGCGUUAUCCGGAAUUAUUGGGCGUAAAGCGUCCGCAGGUGGCACUUCAAGUCUGCUGUCAAAGAGCGGGGCUUAACCCUGCAAAGGCAGUGGAAACUGAAAGGCUAGAGAGCCGUAGGGGUAGAGGGAAUUCCCAGUGUAGCGGUGAAAUGCGUAGAGAUUGGGAAGAACAUCCGUGGCGAAAGCGCUCUGCUGGACUGCAACUGACAUUGAGGGACGAAAGCUAGGGGAGCGAAUGGG